rnacentral:rRNA from 1 species
UCGCGGUAUGGGAUGGGGUCGCGUCCUAUCAGCUUGACGGCGGGGUAACGGCCCACCGUGGCUUCGACGGGUAGCCGGCCUGAGAGGGCGACCGGCCACAUUGGGACUGAGAUACGGCCCAGACUCCUACGGGAGGCAGCAGUGGGGAAUAUUGCACAAUGGGCGCAAGCCUGAUGCAGCGACGCCGCGUGAGGGAUGGAGGCCUUCGGGUUGUGAACCUCUUUUAUCGGGGAGCAAGCGAGAGUGAGUUUACCCGUUGAAUAAGCACCGGCUAACUACGUGCCAGCAGCCGCGGUAAUACGUAGGGUGCAAGCGUUAUCCGGAAUUAUUGGGCGUAAAGGGCUCGUAGGCGGUUCGUCGCGUCCGGUGUGAAAGUCCAUCGCUUAACGGUGGAUCCGCGCCGGGUACGGGCGGG